AUGCAGGGGAAAGUUCCCAUCAGGGAGGAUCAUUGCAAGCACAUUGGAUGCAUUGGGUAUGAUCUGUUCCCACUGGCCUUGCUGAGAAUGUAUUGUAUCUCCCAGAAGACGCUGUUUAACUUACCUUUGGAAAGCACAGUGAAAGGAGUUUCAAGCAUCUCCCAGGACCGUCAAUGCUGUUGCAAUAAUAUAUUAAAUAAACAACGUCACUAUUGUUUGCAAAGGAAACAGAGUUCCAGCAGCAUUGUCUGGGGCACAGACAUACUUUCUUCACAGACUCCUCCAGCAGCGGCUGUUCUGCUCCAGCAGGGUGUCUGCAAUUGGCAGGUUGAUCUGCACAUCUGGGAUGACUAGUGACAGAAUAAGGUGGGUGAUGAGCUUAGUUUAACUGUAAAAUGGUUAUCUGGAUGGAGCAGAAGAAUUCUA
rnacentral:lncRNA from 1 species